rnacentral:lncRNA from 1 species
GCAGUGAGCGCGGCGGCGCUGCGCAGCCGGGCCUUGGCCGCCUAGGCCCAGGUGGCGGUGGCGGAGGCGCCAAUGCCAGCGGCAGCAGCCCACCUGGCGACGGAGGGGCCGGGGCUGGCGGCUCUUGGCCGCAGCAGGUAUGUCGCGUGCUUGCGCGCAGCGCGGACUUCGUUUGUGGGAUGGCUAUGCUAGUUUGGGACCAGCGCCACUGUCACGCCGGCACACAUACACACACGCACCGCGGUACCCGCGCCACUCCACUCCAGACCGCACACGCGCUUGUGGUUGCCGCGUGCCUGCACGCCUUAGUCGCCUACACCCCGCGCUCUCCCGCGCUGGUGCAUGCCGUGCCCUUACCGCUCAAGGCUCACGCCGCACAGCCCCACUCCUUUCUCAAGCUGGCCUUCGCUCUAUCCCGCUGCUCCUUUGUGUGCUGCAGCACGCCCGCGCAAGCACCGCCACGGGGCAUGACCACGCCAGCAUGGCUGCUGCUGCCGGCGGCGGCGGAGGAGGAGGCGGAGGCAGCGUGCGCAGUGAGCGCGGCGGCGCUGCGCAGCCGGGCCUUGGCCGCCUAGGCCCAGGUGGCAGUGGCGGAGGCGCCAAUGCCAGCGGCAGCAGCCCACCUGGCGGUGGAGGGGCCGGGGCUGGCGGCUCUUGGCCGCAGCAGGUAUGUCGCGUGCUUGCGCGCAGCGCGGACUUUGUUUGUGGGAUGGCUAUGCUAGUUUGGGACCAGCGCCACACGCACCGCGGUACCCGCGCCAUUCCAG